UGGCAUGUGGAGGUUCCCAGGCUAGGGGUCUGAUCGGAGCUACAGCUGCUGGCCUACACCACAGCCACAGCAACUCGGGAUCCGAGCCAUGUCUGUGACCUACACCACAGCUCAAAGCAACGCCCAAUCCUUAACCCACUGAGUGAGGCCAGGGAUCAAACCCGAAACCUCAUGGUUCGAUCUCUGGCCUUGCUCAGUGGGCUAAGGGUCAGGCGUUGCUGUGAGCUGUGGCGUAAGUUGCAGACGCAGCUUGGAUCCCGCGUUGCUGUGGCUCUGGCAUAGGCCGGCGGCUACAGCUCUGAUUCGACCCCUAGCCUGGGAACCUUCAUAUGCCGUGUGAGCAGGCCUAGAAAAGACCAAAAAAAAAAAAAAAAAAAAGCCUUUUAUUACUGUUUCUCCAGUAACUGCUCUGGCUACGACUUCCAGUACAAUGUUGAACAAAAGUGGAGAAAGCAGGUAUCCUUGCCUUGCUCCUGAUCUUACAGGAAAAGCUUUCAAUCUUUCAUCACAGAGUACAGUGUUAGUUAUGGGUUUUCUAUACAUGGUUUUGGUGUACCGAGGCAAUUUCCUUCUACUCCUGAUUUGCUGAGUAUUUUUAUCAUGAUAGUUUAAUAUUCAUUACAUCACAGACACUUUAUACAUACCACAUUAUCUAAUCCUUCCCCAAAUAGUUGGAUGUAGAUAUUUGUAAACUCAUCUCACCACUGGGAAACUGAUGUAUAGACAAUGAGGAAACAUUCCCAGGGCCACACUACUAGAGAGGAAUAAGGGCUGGUUUGAAUUUAGGAUGUUUAGGCUGUUGGGCCACAGAGCGGCACCCUGCAGACGCUUCAGUGGUGGCAGUGGGGAUGGGGGCACCCUCUACGGAACUGCACCAGGAGAACACACCCCAUGGGAUCCCAAAGCUGGCCUCCUGGGCUGUAGAAAGCCCUUGGUACCUCAUCACUGGUGGCAGAAAUAGGACCAGGAGACAAGACUGGGGCAGGGGGAGGCUGGAGAAAGAGGGGAUAAGAAGGGGACAGGAGGAGGAAGGAGAGGAAAUAAGGAAGUGAGGGGAAGAAGUUGGGUAGGGAAGGCUGAUAGUAGAACCCAUUUUUAUUGCGAUGGCACAUAUUCGAUCAUGUGGGAACAGCUAAGUAUUGUUUUCGUAACCAGAUCACAGUCUUCCAGUUCCAGGAAAAGGAGUGUUUGUGUAUGGUGUGCACUCUCAACUCUCUGCCAUCGAGAAACCCUAGUGCUACAGAACGUCCCAUUUGCUGGUGUCCUGGAUGACCUGGAGUAUGUGGAUGCCAGGGCAUCCUCCCCACCCACAGCUACUCCCCAGGCGAUCAUGUCCAGCGCCAAGGCUCCAAAACAAGCCAGCUGGUGACUGGGAUUUACACCUCCAGUCCGGACCUCAUCCUUCCACGAAGACUCAGUUCUAGCAGCCAUGCCAGCACUUCCACGUGGCUCCUCUGCAAUGCCCACCACACCUGCUCCUUCCCUCCUGCUCUCCCACCCCAGCCAAUCCAGCAGCAAAUCCUGUUGUCUCCACCCUCAGGACACUCCAGAAUCUCUGGCUCAUUCCCACCCUUCCUGGGUCACAAGGCCGCAAUUCUCAUCGUGGCCACCAGAGGGCGCAAGUUAGAAUCCAGCCUGGGGCCACUCUUGAGGUGCUGCCAAAGGGCUUCCCCAAGUCAGAAUAGACCCUACCGUCCCUCAUGAGGCGAGGCCUCGGGACCAGGCCUGAGCUGGCCUCUGGGCCUCCAUUCACCCCUCUGCCCGGCACUCUGUCCUGACACUCACCCCAUUCAAUUCUCUGCCCAGGGUCCCCUCUUCAGAGCUACCCUAUGGUUAGGUCCAGGAUCAGGACCCUCUGAUUCAAUGCAAUGAGGAGCCCUUCCUAAGAAAACGGUCUUGCGAAAAAUAUUACGUCAAGCCUGUCAAGCCUCUAAAUCAAUUACGAGUUUCUAGGGAAUUCAGAGCAAAGAAGAGUGAUGAUGCAUUGUGUUUACAGUUUUAAAAAUCUUUGCCUUUUUAAACAUUUUCGGAUUCAUAUACCUGUUUUUAUAUGUAAAACGGUUUCUGUGAGAGAGGAGGGAGGGAAGAAAGGAAGGAGGGGAGGAGGGUGGGAGGGGGGAGAGCACUGCUGGGACCAAGGUGAGGCGUCAGAUGAUGGGUGCAGGGAGAGACCGAGGCAAGGGAAAUGCACACAGGCGAGCCUGACAUCACAAUCACUGUGCAGACAACCUGCCCACCCUGACAAGGCACCUAGAGCCCAGAGCCCUGACUCCCCACAAAGUCCACAUUGCUGGCAGUGUGAGGGGCAGGCCCAGGCAGCUCAGACCAUGUCAGGCAAGGCCCACGCUGUCCCCAGCUAGGAAAAGGACAUCAGGUGUGCUGCAAUUUCUGGCGUCUCCUCCACCACCACCACCCCUGCUUCAAACGUGGGAUGUCUGGGAAGAGUACUCUUGCUUGGCUGGUGCUGAGACAACAAAAUUCCCCAAACACUGGAAUGCUAGACUUGGCCUCCUCCAGAAUGCCACUGCCUUCCACUGCUCACAGAUCAACCCGGAGGUUUGUUGUUCUAACAUAAAACGGUACCUUUGAACAGGAAUACUCUCUUGCAAACAGCGAAAGUUGAAAACAGGAAGUCUCCAGUCACUCCAGUGGGUUCUCAGACACCCCAGUGAGGGACCCGCCAGACAAAACAGUGGAUAUACCAAAUCAUCAAAUGCUUAUAAACACCUACUAGGUGUCAAGCAAACUGAGGGCUGUGAGGACAGCAAUGAGAAAUCUAUGCCACUCACACCUCUGAGCCCCAGCCGGGGUCUGAGGCAGACACCAUCAAUGGACUGCACAGCUUCUUCCUCAAGGACAUGUCUUCGCCACAGCGCCCAGGCAGCACAAAUGACUCCAGCGAACUAAAACCCAUUGGCCCUGCUCUAACGGGGAAGCAUGGAAAGGGUCAAGAACAAGAGCCUUGCAGAGCUCACCCCAGAGUGGAGGAGUAGAAAGGAGGCCUCUGCAGACACGAAGCUUAUCAAGUGGAAGAGGACCUGGACAGGAUGCAGAAGAUCUGAGUUCAAGGCCUGCAUCUGCCACAAGCCUGCCGUGUGGCCUUGGACAUGGCAUCGCCCUCUCUGGGCCUCAGCAUCCCCAUUGAUGAGUAAGGUGGUUAGAGUAGGUACCCUCGUGGCUCCUCCCAGCCCCUGAGUCUUGGGUAAUCAGAGAGCUCUUUGAAGGUGGAGCCAGGAAGGGAGCCCAUCCAGGACUGGGGCUGGGCUGGGCAAACUGCUGGGGCCUCCACCUGGCCACCGUGGCCCAGCCAUGCUUUUAGAGCUCUCACCUGCUCCCAGGUAAGAUGCAAUGUACAGCAAUCCCAGAUCAGCUCAUAGGUCCCAGGAAGCUGGACAGGGCAUGAGUUUGGCCCCUCCACAGAAGACUGACAGGAAGCUGGAGCAGGUGCAGGAUGGGGUCUACAGGGGAAGGCAGGGCAUCUGGCUCCCAUGAAACCCCACCCAGUUCCUCAAAUGCAAACUCACCUCCCCAGGCCACAUAAGCACCCAGCUCCUGGACACCUAGCCCAGUCAACAGGUCACUCCCACAGACAAGAGUGUGAUAUCUCCUGGCACACAGCCAGAACUCUGGAAUUCAUCCAUUCACUCACUCAUUCACUCAACACAACGGCUACUGAAUAUCUCCUGUGCACCAAGCUCUGUGUUAAAAUUAGGCAUCCAAGGCCCUAAUGCAGUGAACUGAGUCCAGCAGGUGCAGAUGGAUGAGCCUCAGCAAAGUUGGGGAUGUCAUGGAGACACAACAAGAACACCUAGGACACCAGGCGAGGACUAAUCAAGGGAGGGAGGGACGAGGAGGGAGAGAAGGCGUUUCUUUGGGCUUCCUGACUUGAGUCAGGAGAUGCCACAGGCCAUAGGAACGUCUUUUCCAAACCUCUUCAACUCUUGGAACACAUUCUGCCCAGGAGAGCCCAGGUUUCAGGACCUCAUCUGGAGAAAACAAUCAGCAGCUGCAGGAGGCCACAGACAGCCCUUCCAGCCCUGACCUUCUAGCGUCUCCGAGAGGUUUCCAGACAGAGACUUGCAGGGAGAGCGCUCUCGUGGCUCCUCAUGUCAAGCAUCAAGGACACACAAGCAGGCAGAGAGGUGCUUGGGUCUGUGAUACCCACACAGCAGCUUGGGCCAUGGUGGCAACGUCAUCACUGCAUUAAUGCCAAGCAGCCGUAACACUCCCCUGGAGCACACCUGGGCAGAUUUCUGGACAAUGAAGCCAAAUGCUCCUCCAUGCCUGGAAAAGAACCUCAGCCACCAUCACUGUGGUCCACCACCAGCAUCCUCACCCAGUUUUCUGCUGUGGCCUCUGAGCAGGUCUCUGGCAUCCACUCUCACCCUCAUUCCGUUCAACUUGCUUUAGCCAUAGAAGCUUUUCCCAAAUGUUAAGUCUGAUGCACUCAUCAUCUUUUAAAAACCACCCAAGGCUGUCCACCUUCGGGCCCCUGCUCCAUCUCCUAUCACUGUUCCCUCCCAAGCAUGAGCUUCCCAAGUGAGCAGAAUGCACAAGACUGCCACCCACAGGCCUUCACACUGUGCACCUCUGCCCAGACAUUCUGUCCUCACCCUUCAUCACUAGGAUAACCGGACUGGUCUUUGAGCCCUAGCUCAGAUGGCCUUCUCCCAGGAACCUUCCCUGACCCUGGAGACCAGGUGAGUAUGCUUCACUUUAUAUCAGGCUCCCUCAAAAGCAGAGUCUGCAGCAAGGACUGAGUUCAAGCGUUUUACUGGUAGGUAACCCCGGGAGGCCGGUGAGGGCGUGUGGAAGUGAGAAGGGGAAAAGCUGAGACAAAGGGCAUCAGCAGGAAGGCGACCACCUGGGCAGCCGAGACUCAGUCCUGCUAGGACCCCCAGGAGACGGCAGAGAGCACAGCCCAGAGUGGUCCCAUCUGAGGGCAUAAGAGCCUGAAUGUUUAUCCACACCUCU
rnacentral:lncRNA from 9 species